UACGGGGGGAGCAAGCGUUGUUCGGAUUUACUGGGCGUAAAGGGCGCGUAGGCGGUCAGCACAAGUCAGUUGUGAAAUCUCCGGGCUUAACUCGGAAAGGUCAACUGAUACUGUGCGACUAGAGUGCGGAAGGGGCAACUGGAAUUCUCGGUGUAGCGGUGAAAUGCGUAGAGAUUUGGAGGAACACCAGUGGCGAAGGCGACUUUCUGGUCUGUAACUGACACUGAGGCGCGAAAGCGUGGGGAGCAAACAGG
rnacentral:rRNA from 1 species